AUGUUUUUUUUUUUUAACAAUUUGAAAAAAAAAAAAAAAAAAUAUAUAAAUAUAAGUUACAAAGAUAUGGACGAAUCUUUGUUAAAAUACUGUCUGCUUUUAUUGAAAAAUGAUGAAUACUUAGGUAUAAAUUAUUUGUUUUAUUUUUUUUUGUUUUCGCGCAUAUUAAUCAAAUAUAUUUAUCAGUCAGUUAAGAGUGGUACAAAUGGAGGGGAUUUUUUUUUUUACACUGACACUUACAACUGUAAUUGUAAUUGUAACUCGAACUUUAAUUGCGAGAAUUGUAAUCUAGCCAAAUUUAACAUAAACUACGAUAGAAACAUAAACUAUAAUUUAUUUUAUAUAUUCACUAUAGACAUCCUCAACUUAAUUAAAUACAUACUAUUUGUCUGUAACUCUUAUUACUAUGCUAAAAAAAUGUGUAACCUUUUUUUUUUUCAUUAUUACUACAUUAUUAUUACCAACAUCGAGACGCAUGUUCGUUUUUUUAAAAAAGUUACUAGCCAUGACGACAGAAUGAACACAUGCAUAAAAAAUGUAAGCAACAAAAUAAAUGUAAGCAACAAAAUAAAUGUAAGCAAUAAAAUAAAUGAUCCAUUUUUCUCCCUUUCUUUCGUCCAUACUAAAGAGUGUACUACCAGUCUUAAAUACAAAUUAAGCGCUAAACAUAUCUAUAAAAAUAAUAGAAUUAUAAAAAAACACUUAACAAAUAAUUUUUUAUUUUUAAUUGAUAAUGUAAACGAGUUAAAAAAAAUAAAUGUAAAAAAUAUAUGUAGUAAUAAUAUUCAUAACAAUGAAAUAAAAAAAAAAAAAAUAAAAAAAAAAACAUGUGAUUUAUUUAAAUCUUAUGAUUUUUAUAUAAAAAAAAUGAUUAAAAAUUAUUCUGAACAUGGUCAUACAAAAAAGACACAUAAUUUAAAAAAAAAAAAAAACAAAUUAAUGAAUAUGUUUAUAUGUUUGGAAAAAUGUGAUUUUUACUUUCCUUUUAUUUUUAAUUUAUUAUACAGUUAUCAUUUAUGUAAAAAAAAGUAUAGCUACUUAGAACAUUUUAUUAAAGAGAGGUAUAACUAUGUUAAUAUAAUUUUUUCUAUUUGCAAAGAGGAAGUAAAGGGAAUAAAGAAAAAAGAGGAAGUAGAAGUAGGUACUACUACUACUACUACUACUACUACUACUACUAGUAAUCAUAGUAGUAGCUGUGGUAGAGGAAAAACCUGCUUACUACAAAUAAAAAACGACAAAUAUAAAAAUAUUUACUUUUUCAAAUUAUAUGAUGUAUUAAAUUUUAAUACUUUCACUCAGUAUGUUUUAUAUACAACCAUAUUUGACAAUCAACAAUACAUAGAUUGUGUUUAUAUUUAUUUUAUAAAAAAAAACAUACAUAACAUAUAUUAUGUAUAUAAUCUUAUAAAAAAAAAAUUAAAUCCAUUCUACUUAACAUUUUUUAACAUAAACACAAAUGUUAAAACAGACGUUGACAUAUUAAAAAAAAAUGGGAAAAAAAAAAUGGAUUAUAUCCAUCUUAGCAAUAUUUUUAACCCAAAUAUAGAACCAUAUUAUCAGAUAAAUUAUGUUAUAAAUACAUUAAUGAACGAUUACGAUUAUCUUGCUCAAUUCUCAUUCCAUGAAGUUUUUUUAAUACUAUAUAAUUGUUAUUAUAAUAGUAAUAAAUCUCAUACCAGUGUUAUAAACUGGUCUACCUUAAGAGAUAAUUACAACUUCAGUAAUAAUAACGAACUAACCUGCUCUAAUUUUUUCAAAGUCUUACAAAAUACUCAUAACAAUAUAAUAAAACUAAAUAUUUAUCUUGUUAUAUUUAAAAUAAUAAAAAAAGUUAUGUACAUUCAGAAAAAAAUGACAAGUUUUGAUACUAUUACAUGUGGUAAUAAAAUCUGUAACAACUCUUCUUGGAUACGUAUAUUAAAAAUAAUUUUUAAACAGAAUGAAGAUAAACAAACAAUUUUAAAUUUUAUUAUUAAAAAUAAACUAUUUAAAUAUUGUUCAUUUUAUUUGAAAUUUAAAAAUUAUAUCUCAAGUUAUGACAACAUAGUAAUAAAAAGUAACAGUGCAUAUAUUAUAUAUUUAUGGAAUAAUAAAAUUAUGAAAAAAGGUAAAAAAAAAAUAAUUUUAUUUUUAAAAAAGUUAGGACCUAAACAAAUUCAAAAAGUGUUAAGUAACAUUUUUUAUUACCAUUAUAAUGAUUAUAUAUAUGAACUUUUUUUUUUUUUACAAACACAUUUUAAAGAAAAAUAUAUAAAAAAGUUUUACCUAUUACGUUUUUUGAAUCAAUGUGUAGGUAACUUUGACUUUGUUCAUUUUGGAAAAAAAAAAAUAAAAUAA
rnacentral:lncRNA from 1 species